AUCACUUCUCGGCCUUUUGGCUAAGAUCAAGUGUAGAAUCUCAUGUGGAGAAUGGGGAAAACUUUGGACUCUGAAUUUCCGUAUUUUGAGUUUUUAAAUAUAUUUUUAAAAUUUUCACCAAUU
ensembl:snRNA U2 U2 spliceosomal RNA